UACGUAGGGGGCGAGCGUUGUCCGGAUUCAUUGGGCGUAAAGCGCGCGUAGGCGGCUUCGUAAGUCGGCCGUGAAAUCUCCAGGCUUAACUUGGAGGGGUCGGGCGAGACUGCGGAGCUCGAGGUGGGCAGAGGGCAGUGGAAUUCCGGGUGUAGUGGUGGAAUGCGUAGAGAUCCGGAGGAACACCAAUGGCGAAGGCAGCACUCUGGGACGUGACUGACGCUGAGACGCGAAAGCGUGGGGAGCAAACAGG
rnacentral:rRNA from 1 species